CUGCGGGCAUGAAACGCAGUCCCCCGAGGAAAGGGGGUCAGUACGGACAAUGUACUGAGUAUGUAAAGCAUAAGGUAAAGAUGACAGGAUACCAAUAUGGCAAGUCGAAACAAAAUAUCACUACACAUGUACCCUUUUAAGUGUAAAUAAUGCAUAUCUUUAACAUAUAAGGUGCCCAGCUUCCCUAGUAAGGGGCUCGGAAAAAUAAUCAUCACGUCAUCUCCGUCAUUAUCAUCAUCAUAACCAUCCUCAUCACCAAUCAUAUAUAAUAUAUAUACCCGGCCCUCUAGUGAGGGACUCGGUGACAUAUGCAAGAAACUCCGCACGAAUAUUGACCGGCCCGGGACUCGGUGAAAUGAUAAAUGACUCUAUGCACGAGCAGAAUAUUAUGAGCAACCAUAUGCAAUUAAAAUCAUUUCUUAUAACUCAAUAGCACAAUCCACGUGAACCAGCAAGGAGUAUUACCAAAGAUUAACGUUUUAUCAAGAUUAUGAACCUUUAAUACGAUAUGGAAAUGUAAAAUCUCAAUGACUCUAAGAAGCACUACCAUAGAUAUGAGAAAUUAUCAUAGUCUUUGACAUAGCAGCUAUAUAGAGGAAUAAUUGUGGAAGCAAGAAUAUACGUCACCUAGAUGCUCUAGAGGGAAGUAUCAAACCUAUUCGUUAUUCGCUUAUUUUUACAAGUCAAGCCAAACAAAGAAAGAAGGGACAACGUUACAUACCGUAUAGUCGAGCCGCACGUCCAAUAUUUACUGCUCAAGCUAUUUAUCUAUAAGAAGAAACAAUCGUGCCGCAAUUAGAUAAACGUCGCGCUUUACUAUCUUGUAAGCUAGCUAAUAAUCUAACAAAAAUUCGGCAGCACUUCCCCUAUUUUCCUUACUUCGUCCCAAUCCGAUAACAACCCAAAUUAUCCACAGCAAUACCAAUAACACAUAUAACCCAACGAAUCAUAUUAAACAGCCCCCUCCCCAAAACAGUUCCGUCUCGGCAACCAUAGCAGCGAAGCAACGACACACCGAGCGAUAACUCGUUUUAUAAUUCGCAACACAUGUACCUUAUCGUAUUCAUCCUUUGGAGUAUAUACUCAUAAUCACAUUUAACAUAUCCAUAACGCCAAAACAGAAUUUUCCCGCAGUUUGCUUUAAUCAAAACAGCCCAAGCACCAACACGACACCACUAAUAAUCCGAUUAUGGUUUCCGUUCAUACUUAGCACAUUCAAUAACUAAAACAAACUUCCUAAGCUACUGGUCACGCCCCCUUCUUAAUAUUAAUGGAUAAUUAACAAGGUAUUCUAAAGAAUUAACACACCACGCAAGGAGAUUACUAACCAAAUUAUUUGCAGCUGCUGGCCAAGAGUUGCAGGGUUGGUUUCUCAAUUUCCAUGGCUGCCUAAGCCAAGUGGUGAAGAAGAUGAUAUGCAGCAAUGCAUUUCACCACUUUAUUUAGUAUGGAGUGGAUUUCUCCACCUCAUUUAAAAUAUGAAGUGGAGGCAGCCCCCCCCUCUACACGUGUCCACUAAGGCCAGCUCCAAAUCUGAUCCCUUUUUAAUUUUUGCCUUGAGUGGUGGGGCCCACUGGAUUAAAUUAAUCCUAAUCAGCCACUAAUUAAUCCCUCACUUAAAGUUAAUGGCACUUACAUUAGCUGAAUCAUACUUAAUAUCACAUUUGGAAUUAACAUCCUUGCCUAAUAUUUCUUUAAUCACUUGGAACUUAAAAUAAAAUCUCAUUCCCCAGACUUACGUCUACUAGAUCAUGACGCGCAUGACUUAUAAAAAAAUACGAGGCAUAACAUCCUUCCCCCCUUAGGAACAUUCGUCCUCGAAUGUUAAGUUAGUGUCUUACAAAAACAAAUUCCAACGAGGUCUCUCUAACAGUUAUACCUAUCAACCUGCAUUCCGUAACUUACAGAUGCCUCAUAGAGUCACAACUUACUACAUAAUCUCGUUUAUCAAUCAAUAUAGUCAAGCUAGGAGUUGAAUUACCUGCAGGUACGGGGAACAAGUAAGGAUACUUAUUCUUCAUUUCGUGUUCCGCUUCCCAAGUCAUCUCCUCCCUAUUAUUAUUUUGCCACAACACUUUCACGGAAGCCACAUCCUUAGUACGUAACCUUCUAACCUGGCGAUCAAGUAUAGCUUGGGGUUUCUCCUCAUAUGACAACUCCUCUCUGACCUGAACAUCAUCUAUGGGGAAUACUCUAGAAGGAUCACCAAUACAUUUACGUAGCAUCGAUACAUCGAUACUCUAGAGGGUGAAAUGAUGUGCUAAGGUUCACCUGUGUCCCCAAUCCCUUCUGAAAUGAUCUCCAAAAGUUGGCUGUAAAUUGAGCUCCUCUGUCUGAUAUAAUGGACAUGGGAACCCCAUGAAGUCUCAUUAUCUCCCUGACAUAUAACCUCGCAUAAUCUUUAGCCGAAUAAGUAGUCCUGACUGGAAGAAAAUUGGCCGAUUUCAUCAGCCUAUCUACAAUGACCUAUAUAGAGUCAUACUUCCGUUGAGUGCGAGGUAAGCCUGUAAUGAAGUCCAUAUUAAUCAUCUCCCAUUUCCAAGUCGGGAUCUCUAUCUCCUAUAAUAAUCCACCAGGCUUUUGAUGUUCGAUCUUGACUUGUUGACAAUUCGGGCACUGAGCAACAAACUCCACUAUGUCCUUUUUCAUGUCAUCCCACCAAUAUAAGCAUCUGAGGUCAUGAUACAUUUUUGUUGACCCUGGGUGAAUGGAAUAAUGGGCAGAGAGUGCCUCUCCCAUAACCUGCCGUCGUAGCCCCGCAAUAUCGGCUACACACAAUCUGCCUUCAUAUUGUAACACUCCGUCAGGUGUAACCUUAAAUGGGGUCUUUUUCUUUUGAAGAGCUGCAUCUCUAUGUUGUGCCAGAAUAGGGUCUUUGUAUUGGUGACUCUUUACCUCAUCUAUGAUUGAGGACUCAGCAAACUCUCUAAUAGAAACUCCACUAUCUUCUGAAUUAUCCAGACGGACUCCAAGGCUGGAUAGCCGCUGAAUCUCCCGAACCAUAUCCCUCCUUUCUGGUUGUACAUCUGCCAAGCUACCCAUGGACUUUCGGCUAAGAGCAUCUGCUACAACAUUCGCUUUCCCUGUAUGAUAUAAAAUAUCAACAUCAUAAUCCUUUAGCAACUCUAACCACCGCCUCUGUCGUAAGUUCAGCCCCUUCUGUUUAAAGAUAUAUUGGAGACUCUUAUGAUCUGUAUAGAUGUCCACAUGGACAACAUAUAAAUAAUGUCUCCAUAUCUUCAAGGCAUGAACCACGACCACUAACUCCAGAUCGUGAAUAGGAUAGUUCUUUCAUAGACUAUCGGGAGGCAUAGGCUAUAACUUUGCCAUGCUGCAUCAAUACACAUCCUAUCCAAACACCCGAAGCAUCACAAUAAAUAACAUAGCCGUCUGGUCCAUCCGGAAGAGUUAGGACUAGAGCUGUAGUCAAUUUGUCUUUCAAUAGCUGGAAGCUUCGCUCACAAGCACCAGUCCACUGGAACUUGGUUGCCUUUUGAGUUAUCCUUCUCAAAGGUGCUGAAAAUGAGGGAAACUUUUCUAUGAAUCUCCUGUAAUAUCCUGCUAACCCCAGAAAGCGGCGUACCUCAGUAGGUGUCGUAGAUCUGGGCCAAGUCUUUACCGCCUCAAUCUUCUGCGUGUCUACCCGAAUACCAUCAGCUCCAAUAAUAUGUCCCAAGAAUGCCACUAAAGUCAACCAUAACUCACACUUAGAAAAUUUAGCAUACAACUUCUGGUGCUGAAGCACCUUAAGUACCGUCCUUAAAUGGUCUGCAUGCUCCAGUUCUAAACGUGAAUAGAGCAGAAUAUCGUCUAUAAAUAUAAUAACAAACAUAUCAAGGAAUGGUUUAAAUACUCGAUUCAUUAAAUCCAUAAACACCGCUAGAGCAUUAGUAAGCCCAAAAGACAGCACUCUAAACUCAUAAUGCCCGUAUCGGGUCCGGAAUGCCGUCUUUGGAAUAUCUGCCUUCCUUACCCGCACCUGAUGAUAACCUGACCGCAAGUCUAUCUUUGAAAAACACUUUGCACCCUACAACUUGUCAAAUAGAUCGUCAAUCCUUGGGAGGGGAUACCUAUUCUUUAUUGUUACUUUGUUCAGCUGCCUAUAAUCAAUACACAUCCGCAGCGACCCACCUUCUUCCUCACAAAUAGUACCGGUGCUCCCCAAGGUGACAUACUAGGCGUGAUGAAGCCCUUUUCUAGCAAAUCCCUCAAUUGCUCUUUCAAUUCUUUCAACUCAGCAGGUGCCAUUCUAUAAGGAGGUAUAGAUAUAGGCUGGGUAUCUGGCAGUACAUCUAUAGUAAACUCUAUCUCUCGUUCUGGAGGAAGGCCUGGAAGUUCCUCGGGGAAUACAUCGGGAAAUUCAUUAACUACCGGGACUGAUUGAAGAGUCGUUGCAUCUGCCUUUAUGUCAUGCACCCGAAUCAGAUGGUAAAUAUAGCCUUUUCUAACCAUCUUCCUAGCCUUAAUGUAUGAAAUGAACUUACCUUUCGGCGAUAUUGUACUCCCCUUCCACUCUAUAAUCGGUUCCCCUGGAAAUUGAAAUUGAACUAUCUUUCCUCUGCAACCAACAUUAACAUAACAAGAAGCCAACCAAUCCAUGCCCAUGAUAAUAUCAAACUCAAUCAUAUUUAACUCUAUUAGAUCUGCUACGGUACGAUGACUAUAUAUAACUACUAAACAAUUCUUAUAUACUGGCGUAGCUAUGACAAAAUCUCCUACAGGUGUAGCUACCUCAAAUGGUUCUAUCAACUUAGACUCUAUUCUGAUCCUACUAGCAACAAAGGGAGAUAUAAAUGAUGAGGUUGAACCAGGGUCUAUCAAUGCGUACACACUUCGGGAGAAUAGUGAUAAUAUACAUGUGAUCACAUUAGGUGAAGCCUCCUGAUCCUACCUAUUAGUCAAAGCAUAUAUACGGUUCAAGAGACCGCUAGAAUUGGAAGCUCCAUCACGUCUUCUACCACGGCCUACUGGCACCUGAAUACCCUGCCCCGUAGAGCGCAUAGCCACAGAAGAAGAUGAACCAACAACGGACCCAGUAGGCUGUGUCAUACCACCUGCACUACCACUAAGGUGACACUCCCUCAUAGUUUGUCCCUGACGGCCGCAAGAACAACACGCACCUAUAGCCCAACGACAUUCCCCAUGAUUGGACUUACCACAACGAGAACACUGAGGCAAAGGUGGCCUCGACUGGCUCAAACCCCUGCCCAUCUGUGACCCUGACUCCCUAGAGCUCUGACCAGCUUCCGAAUAUCCCAUAUGAUCGAACCCCCUACCCAUGAAACGAGGGGUGCACUCUGUGCUGGCUGGGAAGAAAAUCUAACAUGCUGCUGAGACUGCCCGCUUCGAAACUCGUCAGGAUAAACUGCUGAUCUAGCCCUCUUAUGCUGGCCUCUAUUAUAAUCUCUAUCUGUCUGACGGGACCGGUGUCGAUCCUCUACCCCCUGUGCAUUCUGCACCCGAGCAAUGUCCAUACCUGGCUGAAGAGUCACUGGCAUACAACCGUCAAUCAGAUAACGAUCCAAUCCCAUCACAUAACGAUGUACCCUGUCUGCCAUAUCAGCCACAAUAGUAGACGCAUGCCUAGCUAAUGAAUCAAACUCGAAGCUAUACUCUCGAACGCUCCUGCCAUUUUGCUUUAAAUGCAAGAAUAUAUCGACUCUAGUUCGCUUUAUCUCAGGAGGCAGAAAGUGGCCCUGGAAAGCCUCCAAAAAUUCAUCCCAUGCCGCUGGAGGAGCAACCUCACCCCUAGAUAACUCCCAAGACUCAUACCAAUUAAUAGCUACAUCCGCAAACAAUACGUAUCCAACUCAACAGACUCGGUCUCCGAAGCCUUGAUUAUCCUCAAUGUACGCUGCAUCUAACGAAUAAACUCUUGCGGAUCAUCCUGGGGCCUUGACCCAAAGAAAUCUAGAGGAUUACAACUUAAGAAGUCACGAGCCCUUAAGCUAUCAGAUUGUCCGCAUGAUCAACUCCUAGUCCAUGCCUGCGAUCCUGACCUGCCACUAAUCUAGUCAGCAACUACACAGCAUCUCUCAUGGCCCUAUCCUCCGCCCCUGACGAGGAGCUGGAGGUUCGGGUGCUGGGGCCUCGGGGGCUGGUGGUGUCCCCCGAAAUGGAGCUGCUGUCACGACCCAACCCGAUGGGCCGUGACUAGUGCCCGUUUUGGACACCCACAUACAAACCUGCUAAGUAUAACCAACUGAAACUAAGACAAUAUGGAAUUUAAUCAAAUCAAGCAAACCCCAACGUCAUAUAUAUAUAAGAGGACCUGUCUCAUAAGGAGUCAUAACCAUUCGACCAUAACAGCAUACGCGAGCCGACAAGGCCACCACUACACAAUACACGAUGAUGUACGCAGCCGACAAGGCUGCCCCUGUACAAGCGGACAUCCCAAACAAACCAUGUCCAGACCAUUAUCCAAAACAUAUAUAUACAACCCACAUAAUGUCCACAGACCUCUAAGAGUACAUUAGUGAAACUCGACGGGAAAGGGCCCCACCAUACCCAUAGACGAGCAAAAGACUACACAAAAGUUAUGUACCAAAACGACUGGACUCCGGAACAGUGGAGCUCUCCCAAUCAGCAGAGUAGAUAUCCUAGGCGGGAGGAUCACCGAACUGUGCGUCUACACCUGCGGGCAUGAAAUGCAGCCCCCCAAGGAAAAGGGGGUCAGUACGGACAAUGUACUGAGUAUGUAAAGCAUAAGGUAAAGAUGACAGGAUACCAAUAUGGCAAGUCGAAACAAAAUAUCGCUACACAUAUACCCUUUUAAGUGAAAAUCAUGCAUAUGUUUAACAUUUAAGGUGCCCAGCUUCCCUAGUAAGGAGCUCGGCAAAAUAAUCAUCACGUCAUCUCCUUCAUCAUCAUCAUCAUAACCAUCCUCAUCACCAAUCAUAUAUAUAAUAUACAUACCCGGCCCUCUAGUGAGGAACUCGGUGACAUAUGCAAGAAACUCCGCACGAACAUUACCCGGCCCGGGACUCGGUGAAAUGAUAAAUGACUCUAUGCAUGAGCAGAAUAUUAUGAGCAACCAUAUGCAAUUAAAAUCAUUUCUUAUAACUCAAUAGAACAAUCAACGUGAACCAGCAAGGAGUAUUACCAAAGAUUAAUGUUUUAUUAUGAUUAUGAACCUUUAAUACGAUAUGGAAACGUAAAAUCUCAAUGACUCUAAGAAGCAUUACCAUAGAUAUUAGAGAUCAUCAUAGCCUUAGACAUAGCCGAUAUAUAGGGGAACAAUUGUGGAAGCAAGAAUAUACGUCACCUAGACGCUCUAGAGGUAAGUAUCAAAUCUGUCCGUUAUUCGCUUAUUUUUAAAAGUUAUGCCAAGCAAAGAAAGAAGGGACAGCGUUACAUACCGCAUAAUCGAGCCGCACGUCCAAUAUUUACUGCUCAAGCUAUUAAUCUAUAACAAGCAACAAUCGGGCCGCAAUUAGAUAAACAUCGUGCUUUACUUUCUUGUAAGCUAGCUAAUAAUCUAACGAAAAUUCGGCAGCACCUCCCCUAUUUUCCUUACUUCGUCCCAAUCCGACAACAAUCCAAAUUUUCCACAGCAAUACCAAUAACACAUAUAACCCAAAGAAUCAUAUUAAACAGCCCCCUCCCCAAAACAGUUCCGUCUCGGCAAACAUAGCAGCGAAGCAACGACACACCGAGCGAUAACUCGUUUUAUAAUUUGCUACACAUCUACCUUAUCGUAUUCAUCCUUUGGAGUAUAUACUCAUAAUCACAUUCAACAUAUACAUAAUGCCAAAACAGAAUUUUCCUGCAGUUUGCUUUAAUCAAAACAGCCCAAGCACCAACAUGACCACUAAUAAUCCGAUUAUGGUUUCCGUUCAUACCGAGCACAUUCAAUAACUAAAACAAACUUCCUAAGCUACUGGUCACGCCCCCUUCUUAAAAUUAAUGGAUAAUUAACAAGGGUAUUCUAAAGAAUUAACACACCAAACAAGGAGAUUACUAACCAAAUUAUUUGCAGCUGCUGGCCAAGAGUUGCAGCAAUGCAUUUCACCACUUUAUUUAGCAUGGAGUGGAUUUCUCCACCUCAUUUAAUAGUAUGAAGUGGAGGCAGCCCCCCUCUACACAUGUCCACUAAGGCCAGCCCACAAUCUGAUCCCUUUUUAAUUUUUGCCUUGAGUGGUGGGGCCCAGUGGAUUAAAUUAAUCCUAAUCAGCCACCAAUUAUGAGUGGUGGGGCCCAUUGGAUUAAAUCAAUCCAAAUUAGCCACUAAUUAAUCCCUCACUUAAAGUUAAUGGCACUUACAUUAGCCAACUCAUACUUAAUAUCACAUUUGGAAAUAACAUCCUUGCCUAAUAUUUCUUUACGUCUUCUAGAUCACGAUGCGCACUACGUAUAAAAAAAUAUGAGGCAUAACAUCCUUCCCCCUUAGGAACAUUCGUCCUUGAAUGUUAAGUUAGUGUCUUGCAAAAACAAUAUCCAGCGAGGUCUCUCUAAAAGUUAUACCUAUCAACCUGCAUUCCGUAACUUACAGAUGCCUCACAGCUACAUAAUCUCAUUAUCUAUCAAUAUAGUCAAGCUAGCAAUUGAAUUACCUGCAGGUACGGGGAACAAGUAAGGAUACUUAUUCUUCAUUUCGUCUUCCGCUUCCCAAGUCAUCUCCUCCCUAUUGUUAUUUUGCCACAACACUUUGACGGAAGCCACAUCCUUAGUACGUAACCUUCUAACCUGACGAUCAAGUAUAGCCACGGGUUUCUCCUCAUAUGACAACUACUCUGUUACCUGAAUAUCAUAUACAGGGAAUACUCUAGAAUGAUCACCAAUACAUUUAGGUAGCAUCGAUACAUGGAAGACUGGAUGUACCGCCUCCAAAUCAGAUGGUAGAUCCAAUUCAUAGGCAACCUUACCUAUCCUACGAAUAAUCUGAUAAGGCCCAAUGUAUCUCGGACUGAGCUUCCCCUUCCUGCCGAAUCUCAUCACACCCCUUAUGGGUGAUACCUUCAGAAAUACCUAGUCACCAAUCUGAAACUCCAAAUCUCGAUGCCGAUUAUCUGCAUAUGACUUCUGUCGACUCUAGGCUGCUAAUAAUCUUUCUUGAAUAAGCUUCACCUUGUCAACAGCUUGCUGAUUCACAUCCGGGCCUAUUAACUUAGUCUCGCCAACAUCAAACCAACCAAUAGGUGAUCUGCACUUCCUCCCAUAUAAGGCCUCGUACGGUGCCAUCUGGAUACUAGAAUGGUAGCUAUUAUUAUAGGCAAACUCAAUGAGCGGCAAGUGGUCAUCCCAGCUGCCUUUGAAGUCAAUAAUACAGGCCCACAACAUAUCUUCUAGUGUCUGAAUAGUACGCUCAGCCUGCCCAUCAGUCUGAGGGUGAAAUGCUGUGCUAAGGUUCACCUGUGUCCCCAAUCCCUUCUGAAACGAUCUCCAAAAGUUGGUUGUAAAUUGAGCUCCUCUGUCUGAUAUAAUGGACGUGGGAACCCCAUGAAGUCUCACUAUCUCCCUGACAUAUAACCUCGCAUAAUCUUCAGCCAAAUAAGUAGUCCUGAAUGGAAGAAAAUGGGUCGAUUUCGUCAGCCUAUCUACAAUAACCCAUAUAGAGUCAUACUUCCGUUGAGUGCGAGGUAAGCCUGUAAUGAAGUCCAUUAAUCAUCUCCCAUUUCCAAGUCGGGAUCUCUAUCUCCUGUAAUAAUCCACCAGGUUUUUGAUGUUCGAUCUUGACUUGUUGACAAUUUGGGCACUGAUCAACAAACUCCGCUAUGUCCUUUUUCAUGCCAUCCCACCAAUAUAAGCAUCUGAGGUCAUGAUACAUUUUUGUUGACCCUGGGUGAAUAGAAUAACGGGCAGAGUGUGCCUCUCCCAUAACCUGCCGUCGUAGCCCCGCAGUAUCGGGUACACACAAUCUGCCUUCAUAUCGUAACACUCCUUCAGGUGUAACCUUAAAUGGGGCCUUUUCCUUUUGUAGAGCUGCAUCUCUAUACUGUGUCAGAAUAGGGUCCUUGUAUUUGUGUCUCUUUACCUCAUCUAUGAUUGAGGACUCAGCAAUCUCUCGAAUAGAAACUCCACUAUCUUCCGAAUUAGCUAGACGGACUCCAAGGCUGGAUAGCCGCUGAAUCUCCCGAACCAUAUCCCUCCCUUCUGUUUGUACAUCUGUCAAGCUACCCAUGGACUUACGGCUAAGAGCAUCUACUACAACAUUCGCUUUCCCUGGAUGAUAUAAAAUAUCAACAUCAUAAUCCUUUAGCAACUCUAACCACCGCAUCUGUCGUAAGUUCAGCUCCUUCUUUUUAAAGAUAUAUUGGAGACUCUUAUGAUCUGUAUAGAUGUCCACAUGGACACCAUAUAAAUAAUGUCUCCAUAUCUUCAAGGCAUGAACCACGACCGCUAACUCUAGAUCGUGAGUAGGAUAGUUCUUUUCAUGCUUCCUAAGUUGUCGGGAGGCAUAGGCUAUAAACUUUGCCAUGCUGCAUCAAUACACAUCCUAGCCCAACACCCGAAGCAUCACAAUAAAUAACAUAGCCGUCUGGUCCCUCCGGAAGAGUUAGGACUGGAGCUGUAGUCAAUUUGUCUUUCAAUAGCUGGAAGCUUCACUCACAAGCAUCUGUCCACUAGAACUUGGCUGCCUUUUGAGUUAGCCUUGUCAAAGGCGCUGAAAUUGAGGCAAACUUUUCUACGAAUCUCCUGUAAUAUCCUGCUAACCCCAAAAAGCUGCGUACCUCAGUAGGUGUCGUAGGUAUGGGCCAAGUCUUUACUUCCUCAAUCUUCUGCGUGUCUACCCGAAUACCAUCAGCUCCAAUAAUAUGCCACAAGAAUGCCACUGAAGUCAACCAGAACUCGCACUUAGAAAAUUUAGCAUACAACUUUUGGUGCUGAAGCACCCUAAGUACCGUCCUUAAAUGAUCUGCAUGCUCCUCUUUUGAACGUGAAUAGACCAGAAUAUCAUCUAUAAAUACAAUAACAAACAUAUCAAGGAAUGACUUAAAUACUCGAUUCAUUAAAUCCAUGAACACCGCUGGAGCAUUAGUCAGCCCAAAAGACAGCACUCUAAACUCAUAAUGCCCAUAUCGGGUCCGGAAUGUCGUCUUUGGAAUAUCUGCCACCCUUACCCGCACCUGAUGAUAACCUGACCGCAAGUCUAUCUUUGAAAGACACUUUGCACCCUGCAACUGGUCAAAUAGAUCGUCAAUCCUUGGGAGGGGAUACCUGUUCUUUAUUGUUACUUUGUUCAACUGCCUAUAAUCAAUGCACAUCCGCAGCGACCCAUCCUUCUUCCUCACAAACAGUAUCGGUGCUCCCCAAGGUGACGUACUAGGCCUGAUGAAGCCCUUUUCUAGCAAAUCCCUCAAUUGCUCUUUCAAUUCUUUCAACUCAACAGGUGCCAUUCUAUAAGGAGGUAUAGAUAUAGGCUGGGUAUCUGGCAGAACAUCUACAGUAAACUCUAUCUCUCGUUCUGGAGGAAGGCCUGGAAGUUCCUCGGAGAAUACAUCGGGAAAUUCAUUAAUUACCGGGACUGAUUGAAGAGUCGGUGCCUCUGUCUUUAUGUCAUGCACCCGAAUCAGAUGGUAAAUAUAGCCUUUUCUAACCAUCUUCCCGGCCUUGAGGUAUGAAAUGAACUUACCUUUCGGUGAUACUAUACUUCCCUUCCACUCUAUAAUCGGUUCCCCUGGAAAUUGAAAUCGAACUAUCUUUCCUCUGCAAUCAACAUUAGCAUAACAAGCAGCCAACCAAUCCAUGCCCAUGAUAAUAUCAAACUCAAUCAUAUUUAACUCUAUUAGAUCUGCUACGGUACGACGACUAUAUAUAACUACUGAACAAUUCCUAUAUACUCGCGUAGCUAUGACAAAAUCUCCUACAAGUGUAGCUACCUCAAAUGGUUCUAUCAACUCAGACUCUAUUCCGAUCCUACUAGCAACAAAGGGAGAUAUAUAUAAUAAGGUGGAACUUGGUCUAUCAAUGCAUACACACUUCGGGAGAAUAGUGAUAAUAUACAUGUGAUCACAUUAGGUGACGCCUCCUAAUCUUGCCUAUUAGUCAAAGCAUAUAUAAGGUUUGAGGGACCGCUAGAACUGGAAGCUCCACCAUGUCCUCUAUCACGGCCUGCUGGCGCCUGAAUACCCUACCCCGUAGGGCGCAUAGCCACAGAAGAAGAUGAACAAGCAACGGACCCUGUAGGCUGUGCCAUACCACCUGCACUACCUCUAAGGUGACACUCCCUCAUAGUAUGGCCCUGACGGCCGCAAGAAAAACACGCACCUGUAGCCCAACGACAUUCCCCAGGAUGGGACUUACCACAAUGAGAACACCGAGGCAAAGGUGGCCUCGACUGGCUCAAACCCUUGCCCAUCUGUGACCCUGACACCCUAGAGCUCUGACCAGCUCCCGAAUAUCCCAUACGAUCAAACCCCCUACCCAUGAAACGUGGGGGUGCACUCUGUGCUGGCUGGGAAGAAAAUCUAACAUGCUGCUGAGACUGCCCGCUUUGAAACUCGUCAGGAUAACCUGCUGAUCUAGCCCUCUUAUGUUGGCCUCUAUUAUAAUCUCUAUCUGGCUGACGUCCCCAGUGCCGAUCCUCUACCCCCUGUGCACAUGCCUGCACCCGAGCAAUGUCCACACCUGGCUGAAGAGUCACUGCCAUACAACCGUCAAUCAGAUAACGAUCCAAUCCUAUCACAUAACGAUGUACCCUGUCUGCCAUAUCAGCCACAAUAGUAGGCGCAUGCCUAGCCAAUAAAUCAAACUCGAGGCAGGAAGUGGCCCUGAAAAGCCUCCACAAAUUCAUCCCAUACCGCUGGAGGAGCACCCUCACCCCUAGAUAACUCCCAAGACUCAUACCAAUUAAUAGCUACAUCUCGCAAACGAUACGUAGCCAACUCAACAGACUCGGUCUCCGAAGCCGUGAUUAUCCUCAAUGUACGCGGCAUCUGAUGAAUAAACUCUUGCGGAUCAUCCUGGGGCCUUGACCCAAAGAACUCUGGAGGAUUACAACUUAAGAAGUUACGAGCCCUUAAGCUAUCAGAUCUGUCCGCAUGAUCAACUCCUAGUCCAUGCCUGCGAGCCUGAUCUGCCACUAAUCUAGUCAGCAAUUGAACCGCAUCUCUCAUGGCCCUAUCCUCCGCCCCUGACUGAGGAGCUGGAGGUUCAGAUGUUGGGGCCUUGGGGGCUGGUGGUAUCCCCUGAACUGGAGCUGCUGCUGCUCUUAGCUCUUCUGGCGGUGGGGGUGAAGCAGAGCUCUCCGACUGGAGCUUAAUACCAGGCAUAGACUGGGCACGGGCCCUACUAACUCUCCGGGUCUCAGUAGUACCUUCUGCUACCAAUUUUCCCUUCUGGGCGGCUGUCGCUUUCUUUGGAGGCAUAGCUGAAAACACAUGGAUUCGUUAGAAAGGGAUUAUCCUGUUAAUAUAGCUCUAUCGCACGAUCUAGAAUAAGAAGAAAGAAUGACAUCCUAAAUGUCCUGUAGCUUCCUGUUUAUAGAUGUGGUGCACAACACACCGAUAAACAAGACUCUACUAGACACGGUCUGUAGACACUUCCGAGGAAGAACCGCUCUGAUACCACUCUUUGUCACGACCCAACCCGAUGGGCCGUGACUAGUGCCCGUUUUGGACACCCACAUAUAAACCUGCUAAGUAUAACAACUGAAACUAAGACAAUAUGGAAUUUAAUCAAAUCAAGCCAACCCCAACGUCAUAUAUAUAUAAGAGGACCUGUCUCAUAAGGAGUCAUAACCAUUCAACCAUAACAGCAUACGCGAGCCGACAAGGCCACCACUACACAAUACACGAUGAUGUACGCAGCCGACAAGGCUGCCCCUGUACAAGCGGACAUCCCAAACAAACCAUGUCCAGACCAUUAUCUAAAACAUAUAUAUAUAACCCACAUAAUGUCCACAGACCUCUAAGAGUACAUUAGUGAAACUCGACGGGACAGGGCCCCGCCAUACCCAUAGACGAGCUAAAGACUACACAAAAGUUAUGUACCAAAACGACUGGGCUCCGGAACAGUGGAGCUCUCCCAAUCAGCAGAGUAGAUAUCCUAGGUGGGAGGAUCACCGAACUGUGCGUCUACACCUGCGGGCAUGAAACGCAGCCCCCCGAGGAAAGGGUGGUCAGUACGGACAAUGUACAGAGUAUGUAAAGCAUAAGGUAAAGAUGAAAGGAUACUAAUAUGGCAAGUCGAAACAAAAUAUUGCUACACAUAUACCCUUUAAGUGAAAAUCAUGCAUAUGUUUAACAUUUAAGGUGCCCAGCUUCCCUAGUAAGGGGCUCGGCAAAAUAAUCAUCACGUCAUCUCCGUCAUCAUCAUCAUCAUAACCAUCCUCAUCACCAAUCAUAUAUAUAAUAUACAUACCCAGCCCUCUAGUGAGGAACUCGGUGACAUAUGCAAGAAACUCCGCACGAAUAUUACCCGGCCCGGGACUCGGUGAAAUGAUAAAUGACUCUAUGCACGAGCAGAAUAUUAUGAGCAACCAUAUGCAAUUAAAAUCAUUUCUUAUAACUCAAUAGAACAAUCAACGUGAACCAGCAAGGAGUAUUACCAAAGAUUAAUGUUUUAUCAAGAUUAUGAACCUUUAA
rnacentral:lncRNA from 1 species